GUCCCCAUCGUCUAGAGGCCUAGGACAUCGCCCUUUCACGGCGACGACAGGGGUUCGACUCCCCUUGGGGACGCCA
rnacentral:tRNA from 2 species